rnacentral:rRNA from 1 species
UACAGAGGGGGCAAGCGUUAUUCGGAAUUAUUGGGCGUAAAGGGCGCGUAGGCGGCUUGGCAAGUGGAAGGAGAAAUCCCUCGGCUUAACCGAGGAACUGCCUUCCAGACUGUUAGGCUUGAGACCGGGAGAGGUGAGUGGAAUUCCCAGUGUAGCGGUGAAAUGCGUAGAUAUUGGGAGGAACACCAGUGGCGAAGGCGGCUCACUGGACCGGUACUGACGCUGAGGCGCGAAAGCGUGGGGAGCAAACGGG